GUUUACUUCCGGAAUUUUUUUAAAAGACUAGUAAGUGAGCUUUGCUAUGUGUACAGUUCUCAAUAUUGUUAGGUAGAUUUUAAGCAAUUUAAAGCGCGCCUUUAAAGUUUUGAGCAAAAAAAACCCAGAUCAAUGAACCUAUAUGUAAUGCAGAGGAGACUUCGAGAAGAUGGAUUUUCUCAUCUUUAAAAAUCGUCACCGGUCUCCGUCGGAUGUUGCCCCUGCUCCUGGUGCCAACGAAACUCGUUUGAGAAAAUGGAUAAUGCGUCAACAAAAUACUUCUGGCGAUGAAAAGGGACCAUCACUGGCAACGGAAAGGGACAAUCGCGACCGGCACCGAGACUCGUCAUCAACGUGGAUCAUCGAACUGUUGGUAUUAUUUCGUUUGUGUUAGUUAACCCGUUGGCUGCCACGCCUUUGUUCUCCCCUAGCUCCUUAGCACGGGCCGCGCUGUUCGGUCUCG